rnacentral:rRNA from 1 species
UACGUAGGGUGCAAGCGUUGUCCGGAAUUAUUGGGCGUAAAGAGCUCGUAGGUGGCCUGUCGCGUCGGCUGUGAAAACUCGGGGCUCAACUCCGAGCUUGCAGUCGAUACGGGCAGGCUAGAGUUCGGCAGGGGAGACUGGAAUUCCUGGUGUAGCGGUGAAAUGCGCAGAUACCAGGAGGAACACCGGUGGCGAAGGCGGGUCUCUGGGCCGAUACUGACACUGAGGAGCGAAAGCGUGGGGAGCGAACAGG